GACGUAGGGCGCGAGCGUUGUCCGGAUUUAUUGGGCGUAAAGAGCUCGUAGGCGGCUUGUCGCGUCGGCUGUGAAAACCCGCGGCUCAACUGUGGGCGGGCAGCUGAUACGGGCAGGCUGGAGUUCGGUAGGGGAGACUGGAAUUCCUGGUGUAGCGGUGAAAUGCGCAGAUAUCAGGAGGAACACCGAUGGCGAAGGCAGUGGUCUGGGCCGAUACUGACGCUGAGGAGCGAAAGCGUGGGGAGCGAACAGG
rnacentral:rRNA from 1 species